rnacentral:RNase_P_RNA from 1 species
GAGGUGGACCAGACGAUCGCGGGGCCUCAAGGCACACGCCUUAGGUCAUGAGGAAAGUCCGGGCUCCACAGGGCAGAAAGCAGGCUAACGGCCUGGCGGAGUAAUCCGACGGAAAGCGCCGCAGAAAAGAAGACUCCCGCUGCCUGCACCUGGUGCGGGUGAGAGAAAAGCUGAAACGGUGGUGUAAGAGACCACCAGCAUCCGGGCAACCGGGUGGCUUGGCAAGCCCCUUUUGGAGCAAACGCAAAUAGGAGCGCUAUGGUGUGGCCCGCACUGCGCUCGGGUUGCGCGCUUGAGGCCAGCGGCGACGUUGGUCCUAGAUAAAUGACCGUCCAUGACAGAACCCGGCUUAUCGGUCCACCUCGCCU